rnacentral:lncRNA from 1 species
UGCCUCUUUUCUUUUUGAGAAUCUAUCUACACCUUAUGGGUCUUAUCUCUUAAGGUGGAUCAACUAAUGUCCAUACAUCAUUAAUCUUCAUAGAUUCUAUUUUGAAUUGUUAGAAAGUCGAGUAGGGUGCAUGUGUAGAUUUCAAAAAUCUUUUUGAUUAUAGCGAAAAAAUAAUCAGGUUAAAUCCUUUAACCCCAUAUGCAAUCGAUCUCAUUUAAUCCUAUCCAACUCCAGAAGA